UCGUGGAGGGUCACUUCACCCUGCUUCUGAACUGGGCUUCCAGCAUCACUCUGCCCGCCUACAGCCACCCUGCACACUCAUCUGCGAAUGCCUGCACUUUAGAAAAAAAGGAAAUUGGAGAUCUUGUAAAUCACUGCUGCCAUCAGACACUCUGUGCCUCAGCUCCUGCCCCAGGGUGCUGUGCUGAUGCCUUCAAGUGGGCAGCACUAGAGAUGGGAGAAUGACAGGAGCACCAUGGGACAAAUGUUUGGGCGAAUGACGAAUUGUUUCCCAGUUCAACCGCAGCCACCUCCCCAUCCCUUCUCCCCUGUGAGUCAAGGUCUGCCUACACAGGUGCUUUGAGACCAGCCUGAAUGCCCCUAUUCUUAGUGCACUGGUGGGACGAAAACUGCAGCGAAGACUAAUACACAGCAGCAUUGUAUUGGGAAAAGUUUCCAAUACAAAUUUGACUUAGGAGAAGCCAAGGAGCUGCACUGAAUCAACAGGAUUUGUUUAAUAAUACCAGCAUAAUUCAUCGCUUCAGGUACCGCUGAGAUCUCCGAGCAUGCCCUUCCUGCAGGACAAAGGGGUAGCAUAUGAUACCCUUACUUUGACCGUGAACUGCGGCCAGUGCUGGGGUGGAAGGCAGCCGUCCCAGCACAGAACAGUUUGGUGCACGACGGGAAGGCGGUAACAAGCUGGAAGUGACAGUGAAGUUUUAUUUCAUAAAGAUGCUCAAGUGGGCGAUGCCAUCAGAAGGAUACAAAGUAGAAGCCACAUCCUGCCGACUUGCCUAAUCCAUAAAAGAGCUUUCAGUGUUUUCCCUUGGAGUAAAAGCUUUAAAUUUUAAUAAGCUGUAGUGUACUUUCACCGGAUGUCAUAAGCUGAUACAAAGUUUAAAUGGGGUUAAGUAAGUUGGGAGCCUAGGAGAAACAAAC
rnacentral:lncRNA from 1 species